GCUUGUCUCAAAGAUUAAGCCAUGCAUGUCUAAGUUCAUGCCGUAUUAAGGCGAAACCGCGAAUGGCUCAUUAAAUCAGUUAUGGUUCCUUGGAUCGUACUUUACUACUUGGAUAACUGUGGCAAUUCUAGAGCUAAUACAUGCGAAAAAUCUCGACUCACGGAGAGAUGCUUUUAUUAGAUCAAAACCAAACGGCUUCGGCCGUCUCAUUGGUGACUCUGAAUAACUUUGGGCUGAUCGUAUGGCCUUGUGCCGACGACGUUUCCUUCGAAGGUGUGCCCUAUCAACUGUCGACUGUGAUAUAGACGCUCACAGUGGUUUUGACGGGUAACGGGGAAUCAGGGUUCGAUUCCGGAGAGGGAGCCUUAAAAACGGCUACCACAUCCAAGGAAGGCAGCAGG
rnacentral:rRNA from 1 species